GGGCCUGCCCUUUGUACACACCGCCCGUCGUUACUACCGAUUGAAUGACUUAGUGAAGCCUUUGGACGUGCGAUUGAUGAGGGCGACCUCUGCCGUUGUACGAAAAUUGGAUGAACUUGGCCAUUUAGAGGAAGUACAAGUCGUAACAAGGUUUCCGUAGGUGAACCUUCGGAAGGAUCAUUA
rnacentral:rRNA from 1 species